rnacentral:rRNA from 1 species
AUGCCGGAUGCUCCGACUCCUCGCAUGGGGUGUCGGGAAAGGUUUCAUCGGUAUGGGAUGGGGUCGCGUCCUAUCAGGUAGUCGGCGGGGUAACGGCCCACCGAGCCUACGACGGGUAGCCGGCCUGAGAGGGCGACCGGCCACAUUGGGACUGAGAUACGGCCCAGACUCCUACGGGAGGCAGCAGUGGGGAAUAUUGCACAAUGGGCGCAAGCCUGAUGCAGCGACGCCGCGUGCGGGAUGACGGCCUUCGGGUUGUAAACCGCUUUUGAUCGGGAGCAAGCCUUCGGGUGAGUGUACCUUUCGAAUAAGCACCGGCUAACUACGUGCCAGCAGCCGCGGUAAUACGUAGGGUGCAAGCGUUAUCCGGAAUUAUUGGGCGUAAAGGGCUCGUAGGCGGUUCGUCGCGUCCGGUGUGAAAGUCCAUCGCUUAACGGUGGAUCUGCGCCGGGUACGGGCGGGCUGGAGUGCGGUAGGGGAGACUGGAAUUCCCGGUGUAACGGUGGAAUGUGUAGAUAUCGGAAAAAA